rnacentral:rRNA from 1 species
AACGAACGCUGGCGGCGUGCCUAAUACAUGCAAAGUUGAACGCAACAAAGACACCAGAGCUUGCUCUACCGUCUUUGUUGAGUAGCGAACGGGUGAGUAACGCGUGGGUAACCUGCCUUAUAGCGGGGGAUAACUAUUGGAAACGAUAGCUAAUACCGUAUAACAAUAGAGAUUGCAUAAUCUUAUUUGAAAGUGCCAACUGGUACACUAUGAGAUGGACCCGCGUUGUAUUAGCUAGUUGGUAGUGUAAUGGACUACCAAGGCGAUGAUACAUAGCCGACCUGAGAGGGUGAUCGGCCACAUUGGGACUGAGACACGGCCCAAACUCCUACGGGAGGCAGCAGUAGGGAAUCUUCGGCAAUGGACGAAAGUCUGACCGAGCAACGCCGCAUGAGUGAAGAAGGUUUUCGGAUCGUAAAACUCUGUUGUUAGAGAAGAAUGUUGAUUAGAGUGGAAAAUUAAUCAAGUGACGGUAUCUAACCAGAAAGGGACGGCUAACUACGUG